ACAUCUACAGCUGCAACCGAAGCAGCAACAGCAAAAGCAACAGCUACAACUUCCCAUUGCGUGACGCAGGCCCUCAGCCUUGAGGCUUGAGGCAUGCCACACAGGCGUCCACAUAGGUGGACAGUCAAAUUGCCUACACAAUGGACGAUGCACGAUGGGUUGCGAUGCGAUGCAAUGCGAUGGGAUGGGAAUUCUGCAAUUAUUGCUGCAAUCGCUCUUGCGCCCAGACUCUCACGCAAAAGCGGAAAUUUUAAUUUCACUCCGGCUCGCGUGCUCCCGAUUCGCUUUUCGGCUCGUAAUGAGCGUGGAACACACUCGACGGAUGUAAUGACGGACUGCCGGACUGUUGGACUGCCGGAUUGCCGAAGUGACUGAGUGGCUGACUGACUGACUGACUGGUGGCAUGGAGCUGCAUGCGGCAUUAAUGCAAUUAGGUGGAGUCUCAAUUUCAGUCGCCGUCUGCGGCUCAGUCCGGUGGUGUUGCACUUGAAAUGGGUUUGUGGGCCACGCACCGCACAUCCUGCAUUUCCGCCUCCUCCCCAGACGCACUUCAUCCCCAUCUUAAUCGAAUCAACACACUUGACAAUGUGGCGUGAAAAAUCUUGCGCCAGCAUCAAUUUUCAUUUAUGGGCCAGGGCGAAGGCGAAGGCAAGGCGAUGGCGAUGGGGAAGGACACCUUGUUGAGGUGGAAGCAAAAUGAGUGAAUACAUCAGCAGGAUGCCCCAGAGACCGGAGAGAGGGGGCGUGGCACAAGGACAAGACGUAUGUGGGCGGCGGUGUCACAUUAUCGUGCUGUGGCAACAUAAAAAAUUCACCAACUAAUUUGUGCGCUUCACAAGGACACCCAAAUGAAGCAGCGGCAUGGGGCAUGCCUCAUCCUCAUCACACCGCCUCACGCCUCCUGAACUGUCGCUAAUUUUAUGACAAACGACAGACAGGCCGCUGAGAGAUAUAUUUAAUGGGGAGCGAGGGCUCCUUCAUCACCUGGCACAUCGUACAUCAAUUUCGGGGGCAGCGACAGGAACGAGGCCGAAGGACAUGCCUCAUAAUUCUCAACUAGCUGGGAGCAGUCCAGGUCCAGGUCGCCAGUCGCAAGUCCAAGAUAAAUGGCAAAUGGUGCUACAAAUGGUCUCGUGUCUCGUUUGCACCCAACAAAAAUCAGAGAAAAAGUGCCAGUAAUUCGAACGAAGAAGUUCAUUUUAUUUAUGGCUUAUUCAGAGUAGUCAAAGUGGGGAAUUUAUGAAUGAAGUUCACAUUAUGAAACAGGGCUCAGAUUGUUUCACUUUAUGUGAGCUGCAUCGAUUUUGGUUUCCUAAUUAUUCAUUGGUUACUCUGCGACUUAAAUAGUUUGCUUUGAGGUGAAGUGUGUGAAAGUAUAGUUGUAAGUGCCUUUGCUGCCGAAACGUGUUCAAAUAUUAAUUGAUACAAUUUAUUUAAAUUGAAGCCGAGAACUGCUGACUAACCACUGUAAUAACUGGCGUAAUGGGAGAACAUUUGCGCACACUCGUUUAUUUAUUCGAGUAUUUUCCACCUGGCAAACAUCAGACGUGAGUCAAAGUGAAAUAAAAAAUCAUUUACAUUUAAAUGAAAUAUUUUAUACUUUAUUUUAAGUAUUUGCUCAUGCAUAAAAUUGGCAUUUUUGCACUCUCCACUCAUUGCCAACUCACUCACUCCCUCCACCGGCGACCCUCUUCAUCAAAUAUCCCACAAAACAUAACCUGAGCCUGGGUCGCAUCGAAAACCAACAACGAAGGCCAAACUUCACCUUUGCCGGGAAAAAAAGCAACCGAGGGAAAAUCGGCAGAGAGCGGGAAAAGAGAGGAGACGAAAAUGAAAAGUGGAAAAUGUAUUUUCAACAAAUAACCCACAAAUUUUACAGCUGCCGUUUUCGUGCGGCUUCGGCGCCCCAAAAAAUAUGUUUUAUUAUUUGAAAGUCAAAUGGGGAAAAUGGCCCCAUCGAACCGAAGGGAGAGAGGGAGGGUGUGGAAAGUCAAGGACGUCCUCGCAGACAAACAAAGAAGGGCCACACAAAAAGGACAAGCCGCCAUUACAGCGGAUGUAAUGGGAACGGGAAAUGGAAAAUGGGAAAUGGAAGGAGCAGGUCUUAUCAAAAAGCCUACGCACGACCGGCUGCGGUGGUUUAGGCGUUUCGGGGUGGCUACCAGCUACAAGAAAAAUCCAGGCAGAGAUAGAGAGAUUGAAGCUGUCUGGACAAUUCGCCUUAACGAUGGCUAGGCUUCUUGCCUCAACUCUGCCCAGCAAUUUGCAAUUUGCCAGCAUUUUUGAAUAGUUAAUUAAGUGCGACGUGUUCUCCUUUACGCUAAGUACAUGCAGAAACUGUUGCUGCCCGAGGUGGCGGUGGCUUACAUCGAAUCCGACUUUGAAACACCCUGACACUAUGCUACUCGUAAGUAAUUCAUUUAGCUCCAUUGAUCACUAAACAAUUUGUCUGUCAGUUUCCACGGAAGCGGGCUUACUCGCAUAAAUAUUCAAAUACUUGUACACUUGUUGGUAGAUCGCAAAUCCUGUCACCUGUUUAAAGUGCCAAAUUAGGCGCGGAAGUUUCCUAAAGGAAUUACCUACGAAUUCGGAGACUCUCACUCCCUCACUCUCUCAAUUUUCGGGCUCACUCUGUUAAAUUGCUUUGCAAGCGUCACUACAAAUGGCGGGGUGUUUUGGGGGCGGCGAGGGGGCGUGGCCGGGCGGUAGGUAGUGGGCGUGGCACUUAAGUAAGCACAAAGCGUCUGCUUUAAGUGCCUCGAAAUUAUGCACAAAUUUCGAUGGUAUUAGUCAAAGUUUGGUAAUGGCUGCGACGGUCGACGUGAAAGGGGGCGGCCCAAAAAGGUGUGCGCCAUAAUUGUUAGCCUGUCUGACACUUGAUCCCCUCGGCCGGCGCUGUAAAGUAUUUUAAUUUUUCUAUUAUUUCAGCUGAAGCAACAUUAACCGCCGGCCGAGGCGUGGGGAACUCAUCAAAUUAGCAAUUGUUGCAUAUUUCCCGAGCCUAAGCUCUUUGUAAUUAGAGCCGCCUUCUGUUUCGAGUUCCAGCCACCUGGGGGGCUUUUGCUUUUGCUUUUCCUUUUGCUUAUGCUCGGGAUAGGGAUAGGGAUUGGGAUUCUGAUACGGCCGUCCAUUUGCUCGAGGACGUGGACGUGGACGAGGUCUAGACACGGGACAUCGAAGUUGCCAUGGGGAAGUUCCAAGAGGCGGCUCACAAAAGGCGGCUAUAAAUAAUUUAAUUGCCCUGGCCACAAAAGGCCGCCAAGGACCCGGGGGCCAUUGCAUGCUGGAGAAUAUGUCAAUAAGCCCCGGCACAGCCCAUUGAUUAUUUACACAAAUUAUUGCGUUGCCCUGGCGAAAUCAGCGAAGCGUCCUGCAAGAUGGCGACACGAGCUAGAAACUCAAACCCAACUCGAAAGUGGAAGGCCAAAAGCUGAUGGCUGAGGGAUGAGGGCUGAAAGCCAAGCAAAUCAGGGCCAAGUCGAUCCCCAGAAAGUCAACUUCAGCUUCAGCUUCAGCUUUAGCUCUUCACUCCCCUCCAAUUCGGGGUGUUAAUUUUGGAUUUAACUCGCUGAAGGUGGCAAACAAAAUUCCUCAGAGGCUGAUUAAAUUCGACCCGACCUUAAAGCGACAAUCCGUGGUCUCUCGUUAAACACAACUUUGAUUUCAGUACACAGAAGGGGAUUUCGAAAGUUGCAGGGGUAUUUGGUUAACCGUAACUUCACCAUUUAACAGGCGGAAGCCAUUAGGUUAUCUGCAAACUGGUUCAUUUAAAAGCAGAAGGUUUUUCACUUAUUUAGUGACGUUUAAAACUACAAACUAUGUGCAGCACUUGUUUGUUCUAAUAUGCAUGCUUUUUAUUACACGAUUCGCAGUCACUGAUUCGAUUUAUUUGCUAUGUACAUUAAAAGCAAUCAAUUUUUCAGCUUCGAUGGCUGCGCAUCUGCAAAUAAUUGUGUGCAAAUAUUUAAAUGAAUUCGGCUAAAGAUAAGCAAACGCGGGCUAAAAAAUGCGAAUGCCACAGGUAAUCCAAUAUCGCUGCUAUAAAUAGGCAAAAAACUCUUUUCGAUAAGCGGAAAUCAGAAAACGAGCUUCAAUUAAACGGCACUUCAUGUUUGCGUAAAAAAAAGAGUCAUUUUUUGCCAAUACGAGCACAUUUGUUUCGACCAGGAAUUACCUUUUGCAUUUUUUGCACUUCAUUUCGUUUCAAAGGUGCUUGCUUUGAAUAAAUUCCAUUGUAAUUCCAUUACUUGAAUGAUCCUUUAAUGAACUAAAUCCUCUAAUACUGAACAAUCGCCCAGUUUCAACUGAAUGCCUUGCCUUUUCGACCCACAAUUACCUUAAUCACCCGAACAAUAUUCUCCGUGAAACCACAAGUACCGAGCACAUCAAGCAAAAAGGUGUUGAUGGUAUAAAUAAUAUUGUUCUGGUGUCAGGUUAAAACGCUUUAUCCCCUGCUGUGGGUGACUGACUGGCGGCGAUGUUGGCAUUGUGUGUUGUGUAACACAAAUAUCCAAAAACGAGGAAAAACGGCAUAAUGCAGACAGACAGACGGAUGGACAGACAGUCAGUCAGUCGGAGUGUUUUGCCAAAUUCGCAGGUUGCCUCAUCGCCGCCCGUCAAACGCUCAAGCUUUCGUCCUUUUGGUCCUUCAGGACGCAUGACAGGCUGUUUGCGGGGUGUUUGUGUUUUCGGCUGACAUAUCAUACAUCAUAUUAUACGCACGAGCUGUCGGCGGGCGUCUGAUCCAGGAUUCUCCAGCGAAGGCGAGCAAUUAAUGUCAAUAACCCGCUCAUUAUGCGGUCCUGUAUGCAGCCCUCACCUCACCUCACCCACCGUUCACCAUUCACCAUUUACCAUUCCGGUUUUUGCCCCACCGGACUACAAUAUAAAUUUAAGUUUAUUUGUGCAACUGAAAUCUACAUAAUUGCUGUCGCCGCCAUAGACAACAAGCAAUAAAACUGAAGAAAGGACGAAAGCAAGCCACAUAAUAAUAAGACUUCGGCAACAAUGGGCUAACGGAAAAAAAGGAAAGCAGUUCGGCCGGGACAAGACGGGAUGGGUGAAAAGGAAAAGUGAGUAAAUAAAAAACGCGUAAAGUGGGUCAGAAGUGGAAAUGUGGAAAAGUGGAAGUGGAGGGCAGUGUGCAGCGGGAAAAGCCGGGGAAAGCGCUGCAUACUUCAGGGCUGAAACUGAAGCUGAAGCAAUAAAAGCCAACGAGCAGAAGUCCGUCCGCCGGCCAAAAGAGGGGGUGGUGGUGUAGGCGGUGGUGUGGGCGGUGGUAAGUGAAGUGGGUGGGCGGGUAGUUGGGGUGGUCUGUUACCAGAAUCGAGGACGCUUCUAGCCUAGGCCAACAACAACUACAGCACCGAGAUGUGCGUGCGUUUGCUGCCCCCUUGUUGUUAUUGUUCGACUCGCCAUUGUUAUUGUUGUUAAGCCAUUCAGCAGCAGUGGCAACAACAAUGACGACACUUUUACAGUCGCAACAACAACGAGAACAACAGCCACCGGGAGGAAAAAAGCCAUAGCAGUGAGCCAUAUUUACCCACUCAACAAUGGGCCAGGGCCAGCCAGUCAUCCAGCGAGCCAGUCAGCAAGCCAAAGUUGGCGCCCAGAUGGCGUCCAUCAACUAGGGAGCACAUAUACCAUGGCCCUGCUGUUCGCACAAUGGCACCUCGCAAGAAGCUUGUGCUGCUCCUAAAUAAAAGUCUGUUCUAUUUCGAUUCCGAUUCCGAUUCCCCUGCCCGUUGCCGUUGCCGUUGCCGUUCGUUUUCCCUUUCCCGUUCCCCCGACUUUAAAGCGGCUUAAAGCCAAGCUGGCGAACAUUAAUUACCGCAAUGAAAGCGCUAAAAGCUUUCCCGCCACAUGUGGCACACAGCGCACAGCUCGAGUGACAGAAAUUGUGCGAAUCAGCGGGCGUUGAGAUUUCCGCUUGCAAUCGAGCGCGUAAGUAGGGGAUACACUUUGAAAAUUACUUGUGAAACGAGACAUACAGCGUUAUAAAUUGUAACUAGUUUAAAGACUAAAUUACUAAUCCAAUCAGUCUCAGUUUCCCUGCAACGUGUUGUGCCCGCCUUUAAGCCUGAUCAUUAUAUAUACAUUUGAAUAUGCUCGCUUUUAAGUGUAGCACAACCCUUUCGAUGGCCACCUGGAAAAGUAGGCGAGGAGCGGAGAAAAGCUGUCGCAAAAAGUUGUGUAAUUUUCCCAUUUAAAUGCAUUAAGCUAUGCCUAAAAAGCCGCCAGCAACAAUUUGUAUGCCAAACACUAACGCCCACUGGCACACCCCCAACACACACACAAGCACACUCGCACACACACAUAGGGAUAACCAUACUCUGUUUACUUUCAUUUUGCAUAACAUUAGCGACAGGGACAGGUAGCCAAAGUUUCCCCGCCUUUCACCUUUUCUCGGGCAUUUUUCACUUUCAUCAAACACACACAAAACUGAGAGAGGGCGCAAAAAACCGAAACCGCAUAAAAAUUGAUGAGUUUCGUUUAUGGGUUGGCUGUGUGUGUGUGCUGGAGUGGGUGUGUGUGGCUGACACACAUGGUGUCCUUCCUUAACCCUCCGAUGGGCCCCGCACUUGGCUGCAUGCAUUAGGCACGCUCUACUUAAUCGCAGCGCUCAUCAAUAUGUAAGAGUGCCAAGUUUUCCAAGUCUGUUGCCCCCGAGAGCAAACACAAAAGCAACAUCAACAUCCCACAGAAGCGACAUCUACAGCAGCGACAUCUACAGCAGCAACAUCGCAUCAGCAACAAAAGCCGCAGCAGAAAUCCUUGUAUACAAAUUAGAAAAGCAAAUUGACGGGCGGGGGAAAAGCGAUAGAAGGUGGGUUGGUUUGGAUUGGUUUGGGUUGGACCGGUGACAGCACAUAAAUAUUUAUUAAAGAUGAAGAUACACCCAGCUACGAGAUAUCCUUGCAGUCCUGCAGCCUGCAUUAAUAUCCUGUGUGGAUACUGUGGAUACCGAAUCGCCAGAUAAAAAGGGGAAAUUACCAAAAACCGACAGCAACACAAGGUGCCGACAUCACAACUUUGCAACUUUUCCAGUGGCUGGAUCCGAAACUAAAGUCCCCCUUUUCGGUAAUUUUAUGACGGUCCCUUUUUCGGAAGAGUGACAAAACUAUUAGCAUAUGGUGGGGUGCCCCAAAAUAGAUCCCACACCCUUGGCCAAGCAGUUAAGCAUUGUAAAACAAGGCAAUUUACCAUAAUGCCAUAAUGCAAAGGGCUCCCAGGGCCACACAAACAUUUGAAUAGUUGUGAAACUAGAUAAAAUAAUGAAUUGCGGUCAUUUGAUGGUGGAAGUUUCGGGCUAAAACUAUUUUCCAUUGGAAGCCAAAGCUCCUGAGUGCUGUCAAUCUGCAUGCUGAGUAUUCUGGAUUAUCAUAAAGUGGCAGAACAAGCUUUCAAAUUUAAUUCGAUAAGCAUUCUCGGCCAUGAUAUAAUUGCUGGAGUGAAGAAACAUAAACGUUCCGGGCUAGCCAUCAAUUUGAGCAGCUUUAAGGAGCUCAGAAGGUCUUUUGAAUUUGUUUUUAAACUGCCACAUAAAUCAUUUAAUCAUUGUCUUCUGACUAGACUGAACUCCUUAAAACCUUAAGGUUACAAUUUAAAUGCCAAUCUAGAGGCUGUUUUCUUGGAGGAAAACCAAAAGUGAAGUAAGUAAAUUAGCGUAGCCUACUUUUCCCGGCCUCGGAAUAAAAUCAAUACUGUGGCAAGAGAGCACCUUGUUCCUUCAUUUUUAAAAGCAACCGCUAAACGACGAGCAUCAAGCUCAGGUGCAAAAAAUGGAAGCAGUUUGCUGGGCAGGUGAGUGGGGCGGAAGCUGACGAGCACUGACAUUACAUGCAUUAGAAGCUAUUAGAACGUUUCGAAAGGAUGCGGCAGAAUCAAAGGGCUGCGAGGACGAGGCGCGGGCCCCAUCGGCAUUCGAUCCCCCGCUGAUGGCUGUCGUAAUCAUCGGGCUAUAGAUAGCAGGAGCAGGAGCAGAAUCAGGAGCCCGUGCUGGAGCAGUCAGGCAUCCCGUGAGGCAGCGCUGGGAAAAGGCAAAAAGUUGCCACGGCGCACACUUUGCCGUGUCAUUGAACGUCGUAAUGGCUUCAGCAUCCAUAUGUGUGCCACAUCCUUGCACACACACACACACACACACACACACCGAUUUACAGGAUAGCUAUCCGACGGCGGAUGUCGGCACAUAUGAGUCUGGGUCUGUGCCCGUGUCUGAGUCUGUGUGGAAUUUAAAUAAAUUAAUACGCUGUAUUAGACACAUAUUAUCGGAGGGUGGGGAGCAGGUCCUUCGACGAGCGAUUUCCGCACUAGAAAUCAGCCAAAAGUUAAAGGUGAAAGUGCAUGUGGCAUGCCACACACGGUGUGUUAGAUACGCUUGAGUGCCCGCCGGAAUGCCAACAGCCACAUAGCCACGUAAAACCCGGUAAGCAAAGCCAGCUACAUACAAAAAAAAACCGUGGAAGUCAAACAUCCUGAUUAAGUUUCAAAAUAAUAUACAAGCUGACAAAUCUAAAGCAGUCAUAACUGUAUAAAAGCUAAUUUGUUUUAGCACCUUAAAUCUCUGAAGGACAGUUUUGAGUAGUAUGGAAAUAUAAGAAAUAGAAACACUACAGUUUUCCCUCAGUGUAGCGGCAAGGGCAUCCCAGCCAGCUGUUACUAAAAUUCAAUAACAAAUGCAUAUUUAAGCGGUUCUGCGAAGUAUGCAAGAUAGAGAAGGAGUAAGCAAAUGAAGAAGAAAGAUGCAUAUAUCUGCCAAGGGAGCGAGGAGGACGGAGAGAGUGCAGGGAAAGAGAUGGACUACCUUCUGGUUGCAACAAAAUUUUAAUGACACCACAAAUCUUCGCUCUUCGCCACCGCCACCUCUUUCCCACUGUAGCCACGUCGUAGCCAAACUCCCGAUUGAAAUUCCGAUGCAUUUCACUUUUUGUGGAGCAACUGCCGUUGCUGGAAAAUUAUUUUAUACAGCCAUAAAUCAAAGCCAGAGGUCGCAACCCUGAUUUUCCCAAAGCGCCGCUGUGUAGGUACGUGUAUACGAGUAUUCGAGUAUUCGUAUACCUUGGAGACAAAUGUCGAGCUAGGGGCAAAGUUUUAAUGAAGGCCUAAGCAAGCAAAUAUGGCAAAGUUUCUCGAAGGCGGCCAGUAAAAUGAUUUCAAUAAUCAACAAGGAAUAGCAAGGCGCAAAAGUUUUCCCUCGCAAUUCGCAGAGGGUGGAGGGCUGAAAAGUGAGUGGAAAACGGGAUGGUUUGUCUGCGAGUGUAUUUACAAAAUGGAAAUUGAAAGCCAAUAAGUGCGAGAAGUUGUUUUCUUUUCGCCCGCUAGAUAAUCUGCAUCUUGCAUAAAAUUGUGAUACUUUUAUGCCAGAAGUUGUUUUGCCAUUCCACAUUUUAAUGCCGACCCCAACGACCAUGAUUUGCGAACGUGGGGCACAAGUCGGUGGCACAAGUCGGGGCAUUUUAUCAAUGCAAGUGCAAUUAUAGCGCCCCGUUGUCCCCCUUCGUGUAGAUAAAAUCUGCAUUGAGAUAAAUAUGCGCAAAGAGCAAACCAAUCACCGAUAAAUUCUGUGUGACAACGGCGAAAGGAAGAUCCUGGGUUCUGGGUCCCAGGUCCUGGGGCCAAACCACGAAAAGAAAUCAAUUUCCUGUGACUCGACUCCAAACAUUCGACUCCAUUUCUUGCGAUUAUCCUGAUGUUUUUCCCCGUCCCCAACUCUGCUCCUUUUUUUCCCCUGAUUUUGUUAUACGGCCUCUGAAGGACCUCCCCGCAUCCCGGACACAUUUGCCGCCCCAAAAACUUGUCGAGUCGACUAAACCACUCAAGGCUAUAUAGUCAUAUAGCCGAGGACAUGCAAAGGAAUAUGUUUCUCCCCCAUAGUGCCCAUAUCCUGCAGUAUAUUUAAAUGUUUGUGUGUGCGUGUGCGGCGGGCUUUGUGUGUGUGUGGUUGUGUUAGUGCUUUUCACUUCCUAUUACCAAGGUAAACAAAAAUUUUAUUACCUUUUUAUGAGCAUGCCGGAGUCACAAUGUCGCAGCCAGUUGCCAGUCCGCAAUCCGUGACAGACAAAGAGCCGGGGUCCUGCGGAUCGGGGAUUGGAACUGGGACGGGGACUUUGGGGCGGGCACAAAGAGUAAACUAUGCAUAAACCAUAAAAAUUGGUUGUAAAAACGCAGCAGAGUGCAGGGCGUGCUCGGCCUCCAGUUGUAUAAAUUCCAUUUGAACUGGCUAAAUUGAUUUUGCAAAUGAUGUCAGAGGCGCAGACAGAGAUGCAGAUAGGAUACAUUCGAACUUCAGCCGCCCACUCGCUCGCUCGCAGAUUAAUCAGUUUAAAUCCAGCCUUUCAUCUCGCACACCACACACACAAAACAUACACACACACCCCCAAUCGCACACUCAUGCCAUUCGCCAUGUGCCAUGUACCAUGUGGCAAGCCAUACAAAUGGCCUCUCGCUCGGAUCUUUAAUUUGGGAAUUAUCAAGGCUAAAUAAAUUUGCACAUUUUGCGAGAAUAUCUUUAUCCGUAUCCGUAGAUGAGCGCAAAUAAUUUACUUACUAUGCGCAAAAGAAGCAUUUGGUUGAGUCUCAACUACUCGAGUUCAAAAGCCAACCAGAAUUUAUACACAUUGAUAUGGCUCACAGUGGCUAUAUAUAGACGAAUUUGGCGAUGUGUAUAUAGCUUCGCAUACCUAUUGCGUGAGAGGGUAUAUUGAUGAGUCGCUCAAUAUACACUCAAAUGGUUUUAAAGUGUCUAAAGUGUUCUCCAUUUAAAUUUUACAACCUAAAAAUGUGUUGAAACUUCCCUAUGUAUGCGCAAUGUUUGAAAUACUUUUCAGCCUUCCAUUUAUGUUGAUGAGCUAGUGGGUACCCACUUCUCGACUACGCAUUCCAUCCACACAGCGUUUAUUUAUCCAUAUCUAUGACCAUCUAUUAGCACGCCUCAAGGUUGGCAAACAGCCGAAGAAAAUAAGAAAACUCUUCAUUGUUUUCGUUUCUGUUUGCUUUAGUGUUUGGCAAAGAUGGAGACGAGAAGUUUGUCUUUGCCGCUGCCUUAAUUAGUCACUUGUUUGGCAGUAUUUUGAAAAUAUUUCCAAAAUUUAUUUGCUUAAAAUAAUGUUGACUUCGGUCGACUGGCUUCACUUGGCUUUACACAUGGCUGAACUGGAUUAUUUGAAGAAUUAAUUUAGAGCCAAUUGCCAGUUUGGCAUUUGUUUCGCCGGCCAGUCAAGUGUGCCAAAUAUCCUCCUAAUUGGACAGCAUCAAUAAACAAAACUGCAGCGCUUUCAGGCUGAAAAAUAGAUAAGGCCGUCGCAGUGGGCGGGAAAUCUUAAAUUCAGAUUUAUCUUGCAAUUUGGCCAGCAACAAAUGGCAGGCGGCAUUGGCGAUGACACCGAAAUUGCAGUGCAGCAAACACACAUCGAGACCUUGAGCCACAAAUCCAGCGCUAAAUGUGGCAGAAAGCGCACAGUCCCCCAAUCCCCAAUCCUGGCCCCAUUUCGUAUAAAUAAACGGACGACUCUUGUGGCAUGCAACAGAGGCAUGCCUCGGAGAUUGAGUGGUAAUGAGUGGGGGCAGAAGACCACACUAACUGAAGAGCAGAAGAACAGAAGAGCAGAAGAAGAGUAGAGCCCUCUUCUCGAGGGCACGAGUCGGUUGUCUCGCCUGACGUGCUGGGCGUUCUUCCCCCAGAUUGCUGCAAUUAAUCAAAACCUCUUGAAAUUCUGCGGAAAAUGCAGGCAACUGAAAAUGUCAGUCGGAUAAACAGGGAGAAACCGGAUGAACCAAGGGGAUUUCAGCUCAGUUCUCCAAAAAGGGGCAUAAACUAUAGAACAAUGUGGCAAUAAAGCCAGCAAAGAGCUGAAUAUGUCAAGUAUUUACUUUGAUACUUGAAGUGAUCAUUUUUUAGAGUGCAACGAUGUUGGCUGGCUUUAAAAUUUAUACCGGGCUAAGGGGAAGAUAUAUGCCUGCACUUGUAUUUAUCUGUGGAACAUGUGUUUGCUGUUUGGCCAGCGGCUGGAUGUAAAAUUCUUUGUUUAAGUUUCAUUUCAUCGCGCCUAUUAAACAUUUUCUUGACGCCUCUUAUUGCCAUUGCAUCUGUGUUAGUGUUGGAGUGGGAGCGCGUUGGGGGUGGUUCAUAAUUAUUUGUGUUUAUUUUUAAUACAGCUGCUGGCAGGCUGCCUCCUCCACCAUUCCCCUUCCCUGGUCCAAUUUAUGCUUUGGCUUAAUUAAGAAAAAUAAUUAAGCAAUGUUGAAAUUUCGCAGAUUCUCUUAUUAGUUCUUUUACGGCCGAGCGGCACUAAAAAAACAUUUAAUUUGCAUGAAACUAAUUGUAUACACAACUCGUGUUCGGUUGGCAGUGAAUUCCAAGGCGACUGACUCAAUUGCAAGUGCUUCAUUCAUUGGUUCCGCUCGUAAGACCCGUAAACGAGUCUCGUCAGAAGUUUUCCACGAACUUUUCCCUGAGUCACGAGCACUUGCAGUCACUUUUAGUCUAGAGAACAGCUCCCCCGACCCCUGCAACUUAGUCAUCGGCAUCAUCUGUUCUUGGCUCCCAAUUGCUGUGUGAACCUAGCUGGAGAAGCAACAAUUGUAUUGGGGGCCACUGCCAAUGAGUCAACUCAUUUCAGCUCAUUUCAACUCAUCUGAUGGAAGUCACAUUCUCACGCAGCGCCGGCUGAAAACACAUGUUAGGUCAUUUCGGUGGAUCGCAUCGCAGAAUUAUUUACUCGCACGCGUUGCCUAUGCAAAUUUAAUUAGCGAGUGGCGUUCCCCGGCAACAAAGGCACCUAUUCCCUGGACCUUGGAGGGUACAUGGACUUGCUCGGAUGCUCUUCCAAUAGAAACAACGAAUCGUGAAAAAGGAAAUUACCUCACACUUAAAACUUGGGGUUUAGAGCGCAGCUUAUCCUGAUAAUGAUAUUAACUUAAGACCUCAAGGUGGCCACAUCUUUAUGUUGAUAAAUAUACUAUACUACUAUACUAAUAACUAAUGGUGAUUUGAUGAUAUGCAGAACCUUAUGCAAUGAUUUAGCUGAUCUAAUUUCCUCUGAUCCAAAUUAGACAAGAUCUCCAUGAAGCAAUGACGUAUAUAUUUAAGUACCUUGAGUAUGCUCUUCAGCCAGGCACUGUUGAUAUUUCGCAGGCGCUUAUGCUUAUGCUGCAAUCUCGGCCAGCAGCGAUUCGAUUAAGUGAAUCAUUGUGUGUCAGAACCCAUAUAAAUAAGUAAUCCAGAGCAGCGUAAGCUGCCUGUCAGUCACCCCACCCACAAAAAAAAGGCGGGAUGCCUUUGAAACUUAGCCGCUCCUCAAGUGUUUCAUCUUAGCAAACACCAAUCCCCCGCUUUCACCCCAAUCUGGUGUCAUUAGUCUGGGUUCGUUAUCUCUGCAAAUACCGCUGAUGUGAGUCGUGUAGCGAUUGGGGUUUUACUUUCGAUUGGAGGCUUGUUCUGAUAGUGAUCCGGGCAAUCGAUCAGCGGGCAGCGCGAGAUAAUCGAAAGAAUUUGAGGCUAUUUUUUAUUACGCGCUUGGCAUUUGCUCAUCGGAUCCCCGAUGACAUCAGCCCGAGAUUUGUUUUUACCCAGGCCAGAGCAAACAGUUAAAGGCAUUCAUAAACCAGUUUGUCAGUUUAUCAAAAAUAAUAUGCAUGCCCAGCCGCAUGAAUUAUAUAACACAGCGGAGAGAUGGGCGAGAAUACCAUCAUGAUAUACUCGUACCAUACCAUCAUGAUAUCAGCCAACGAAAAACAUUUCGCGUUAUUAGCAUAUUUUGAAUUCAAGGCGACAGUCAGCCAGUCAGUCACUCAGUCAGCUAGUCAGUUUGCCAGCGGCAGGUAGUGGAAAUUGAAAUUCAAUUUCGUUUUCUUUUCAAAUUAAAAUUUUGUUUGUGCAGGAAUUUGAAUAUCAAAUUAUGUCAUUUGUUUGCGAAGCUUUUGUUUAUAAGAAAAGCGCACAGAUCGACGGACAGCGACAGCAAGCCCAAAAUCUGUUUAUAAACAAAAAACUUGGUUUGGCUUCUCGCAGCGCGCCAAAAGCAGAAACUGGCCAGCAGAAACUCUCAACUGGCAACAAACUGCUGCAACUUGUCUUUUCGUACAUAUAGAUACUCGUAUAUUCGUAUAUAUGUAUCUGGCCGGCUUUUGUGUAUAUAUAAAGCUGAAUUAACUCUGCCAUCGAUUUACUACGGACGCGCAUGACGCUGUUCAUAUUUUUAGAGUAACUGAACACAAGCAGAAAUCAAACUGGCUGCGCUGAUAAAUCAGUUCAGUCGGCUAACCAGUUUUUUGCUGCCUGUGCUGCCUAUGCGUUUAUUUUUCAUAUUUUUGUAUUUUACGAACGAACACACUUUGCAUGGUCGUGAGAAAUUCGCAAGUCAAAGCUCAAGACCGCUAAUUAAGCAGACAGUACUGCAGAUGAUGAUGACAAAGAACGGGCUGCAGAGAGUUGUGGGCCCACAUGCGUACACUGCGAGAAAUACAGAUUGCUGGUACAAAUUGCACUUGGUUCGAGAUAAAAACUAAAGCUUCACGGUGUAACGCAACUACUCAAGUUCCAAUCGGGAUCAAAGGCACUUACACACUUUAAACUGCUUUCAGAUCCUUGAGCCGAUAGUUGUGUACCCCGGUUUGUUAAAAGAAUUGACUUAAAAGAUACAAUUUAAAGGAAAGUUCUUCAUUAACAUUUUGAUUCAAGGAAUGCUAAUUAUACUGAGAUCCUACAAUUUCCCACCGUGGCCCAAACAAGCUCAAAACUUAUGUGGUCGCCACUCGUACAGCUGUGCAAGCUGGGCAAGCUGGCCACUCUGGCUGGGCCGUCAAUCAAAACGAAUGCUGGACAUGGCCAUAACGACUGCUCAGUGCAGCAGAAAUGGCAACAGCAGCAGUGGCGGGAAAAUGUUCUUUUUGGCCAACAUUUUUGCGAGGCUGACUGGCUGGCGGGUUGCGUAACCUUUUGGGCAGCCGUUUGCACGAGCAUUGCACACCGAAAUGCCAUUAGAAUAAAUUACAAUCAUGGCUUUAAUGAAUUUCUGACGCCGUGCACUUGGCUGAGAGAGCGAGAUGGACGGACGGACUGUGGCACAUGACUCAUUAGGGCAUCCGCUUUUGGCCAAGCUCCCCAGCGAGCAGCCAUUGACUAUUAACACAAAUAGGCGAAAUGACUGCCAUUGCGGUGUCGCUGGCAGGUGUUUCGGCUGGCAGUGCGGCAUUACCAUAUUUAAUAAGCCGAAAAAUUAUGCGACUUGAAUUACAAUUGGCCAAUGCACUUCCAUCUCUGCAGCGACAGCAGCGGGCCAGAGAUAAAGCCGCAAUGAAAGGCAUCCAAUAAAAGCCAAAUGGCUGGGAGAAAAUAUUUAUGCAGCUGUUACGGCAUUGGUGUGAAAGCCCUAAAAGGACUCGUCGCCCAAAAGGAACGAUAAUGAGAAAGCCACAAAAGAAGGAGACACCAAAACUGCCCAAAAAGAACCAAAUCAACCCUACAAUAUUAUUCCACACGAACCGAAGAAUGUUACAGUGUCCUUUGAUAAAUAAAGUGAGUACUUUCUAGGGUCUUUUUCUCAGUGCACAUACAAAUAUUCUCCCUCUUAUCUGUGAGUGAAAAUAAAAGAAAGGAGCUUGAAAGGCAUUAAAUUUCACUGCAGUUCAAGUGCCGAAUAAAUGCAACUUCUUACCAUUUAAGCCAGUUACAAGUUGUGCAGCCUGCACUAAAAUUAUAGCAUUUGGAGCACAGCACCAUAAAUAUUUCAUAAUUCACCCUCAGCCGGAAACACUUACAGAGUGUUAAGUUCUUCGUUACGUACGCCUUGAUUUAGUUGCCAUCCUAUUUUCGUAUUCAGCUUGCAUAAUAAUUAUAAAUAAGGAAGAGGGCUGCUCAGAGGGCGGCUCAGCUGAAUGAGGGGAGCUUAGCGGCGAGUUGCCGUAAAUGGGAAACUGUUUAGUGGCAUUUUCUUGGGAAACUCGACGUAGAGCUUUCGGGUGCUGUCUUGGCCUGGUCUAAUCUUUAAGCGGCUUAAAGUUUCAUGCAAAAACUCAAUUUGCCACAAUAACCUUCAGCUGGGGUGGCGGCAAAAAACAAAAUAGCAAAAAGUGGCACCCUCUUUCUGCAACCCCCACUGCGGCAUGCAAUUUCUCGUGUUAACGAAAGUUUUUUGUGGCCAACGAAAAAUUCGCUUUUCUUUUGUUUACUUUUGGCCGAGAGCUGAGAACUGAGCUAAAAAAGGCAGGAGGAAAAGCCAGCCAGCGACAACAUGCAACACGGAAGCAGGACGACGCCAGGCCUAGAGUCCUUGCACCGCCCAACCACCACCCAUCCUGCCACCCAUUCUGCCACCCAUUUCGCGUUUUUUCCCCCAUCGCGUGUUUUUGCUGAUAUUGCCACUAAACGCUGAGGCAUACUUUUAGGCGUCUGACUGGCGCGCCUACAUGACGUCGCACGUUUCCUGUGCCAGGAGCAACAAGAAAAAACAAAGGCGAAAAAAUAAAUAUACUAGCAGGAGGGCAACAACAACUGGGGCCCAAAAAUAAUAAUAAUAGCAGUAAUAAUAGGAGACGGGCCAACGGCCGCGGCGGCACUAAAUUCGAAAAUAAAAGGAAGCUUCACUCCUGUGUGCUAAGUCCUGCGUCCUAUGUCCUGUGCCCCGUGUCCUGUGUUCAGCGUUUUUCCCGGCAACCGCCGCUCUUCGGCAACUAGUUUAUGAAAAGCACUAAACUUUGCCCGCUCUUUUUGUUGCAUUUUCCCACUUUUCCCCCUUUUUUUCCAAUGUUUUCCUUUGUGGGAGGCGCGGCAGGUGUUGCCAAUGUUGUUGCACAUGAGCAGUGUUGUCAUUUCAGCCUUAAAGAGUUGAAAAACAUUGGGAACUUAAACAUAAGCUUGAAUGGGUAAAGAAAAAUGAAGUCCUUCUUGUAUGCCUUCUUCUAUAAGGCAUAUUAUUCGGAAUUCGUUUUCCAUCACCCAAUUUCUCGCUCUGCACUUUAUGUCUUCCUCGCUGGUAAAGGUUCAAUAGUUGGUAGGAUCAACUUUAUGGCCAACUUCUGAUUUUUCCACCGAAUGCCAUUUAUUGUCAUCGCUGCAUAUGUGCUGCCUCUGCUGUGUUGUCUCUCUCUAAGGACGUCUACCCGUCUCUGUCUCUGUGCGGCACGGUGUUUAUGGUGUUGGGUGUUAUUGUGUUUGUGCAGUCGAGCUUGACACCCCAAAACAUGGCCACAAAACGCCACCACAGCAGUCACUUAAGAGUCACGUCCUCGUCCUCGGCCUCAUCCUCAUCCUCUUGGUGGCUCUUGUCCCGGGUUCCCGGUUCGCCAGCCACAUCCUCGCAUAGCUCCUCAUCCUGUUCCCGCUUUUGGCCCGUGUCGUGCACUUGGCCAACGACUCCUGCCUGAUAAUGAUCAAGGCGACCAGCCGUUAAAGUUGUGCCAUUGUUGUUGUGCAACCUCUCUCUAUGUGUGUGUGUGUGUGUGGUGUGUGUGAAUAUGUAUGGGUUUAGGGUCCUUGCUCCGUUUGUCUUUUGUAAUUGCUUGAAUUGAUGGCGAUGGCAAAGGGUGUUGGGGUGGCUUUCAGGUGAGCUUUGCGGCGCCAUUUUUUGGCCAGCAAUUUGCAAAUUGUUUUGCAGCAACAACAACAACAACUACGGCGAGAGUGAACUAAAACAAAAAGGAUUUAGUGGCAGGACGAGGCCGCUUAAAGGGCCUCUAUGCAUGACUCCAUUAAACAGAAGUGUGCAGCCAUAACCCUCGUCGCCUGAAAUAUGUACAAUUUUCCGUUGCAUGGCCGCCGGCAACGCUUCAAUGGAGGGGCUUUAAAAGCGUUGAAAGGGACACAAAGGGGGAGUGGGAGCCGCCCCAUGCCCAACAUGGCCAACCCCUCCAACUGUCUGGCACUAAAGUUAUACAAAUUAAAAUUCAAUUGUCUGCAGGCGGCAUACAAUGCAGCCUCAACUUCUUUUCACUGCGAAAUGAGGUUAGACAACUGCAGUGGGGCGGGAUUUUCACAGGAUUCAGGACUCACGAUUCAGGACUAAGGACUCGGGACUCAGGAGGUGGAACUUCGACUCAGGACAGAGACAGCAACCAUAUGGCUGCAGGCGGAAAAACUAAUGCAGUCGCAGGCUUUGCAUGCAAUUUGCAAUUUGCACCCCUCUUUAAGCUUUAAGCGGUUACUACCCCACCGCCCAACCGCCCAACCACCCAACCACUUUCCAUUUUGCGAUUGCUGGCAAGACAAUGAACUUUCUAAGCCAACAGAGCCGGAGGGCCCGAAACCCAGAGCUCAUCCAUAUUCCUGUAGCCACUAUCAUGACGUCGUCAUCCCGGCAAUGACAAACCACAGUAUCGCGUGCCCUGCCGUCUCUUUCCCUCCCCGCAUAGCCCCUCUCUUUCUGUUUGUCCAGCCUUGCAGUUGAUGACGUCGAUUGUUGAUUGGGGAGUGCCCUGGGUUCUGGGUUCUGGGCUCUGUGUUCUCAGUUCUGGGGAAUGGUGUUGGUAUGGGAAUGAGUCUGGGUCUGGGUCACACCCCUUUGGCUGGUUUUUGUGCCCGUGAAAGGGUUCCCGGCCGGGCUGACAUGUGGUUUGUUGUCUUUAGUCAUUGCCCUCACUGUCUGCCGACUGCCACGCCCCCUCUUCUGGGUGGGCAGCGGCUGGUGGGUGGUCGUCGGUGGGCGAUGGACAGUGUUUAUUUGCCGGCUUUGGCUCAGUUGCCUUGUGCUCCCAUGAAUGCAUUUGGCCCACGAACGACGGAGCAGCACAUGUUGUUGUUUGGCCAAGAAAUUUGCAUUUCUGCCAGCCGCCAGGACAAUGCAGUGACUCUCGAUGAAAAGUGUUUAAAGCUUGCCAAAGAGGGCUUUAAGUAACGCAAGUGGCUUAGAAAUUGGACACCAACCUGCAAUGAAAAGAUGAAAAGGAAACGUUGGCAUAAGUUUCGAAUGUAUAUUUACAAAAGUUAUAUUAUUAUUUCUUAUUUGUAUAUAUGGUUUUUAAAUAGGAAUAUUAUACCAAUAUUUUUUGAUUUCAGGCGUACAAUUUAUGGUCUUAAAUUCGCGUUGGCGAAAAUACAAUAAUUUAACAGUAUCUUUGUUUCAGCUUUAUUUCCAGUGCAGCAAAAAUAACAGUUUUGUUCAAUAAACUCGCAAAAAUAGCAAAGGGAAAUAUGGAAGAUUGCUUGACUAAUUGAAUGCCUAGCGGGCCAUUAAUUUGUACUAAGAGAAAAACAAUCAAAAUGUUGUGCCAGGCCCUUCGUUGCUCGAUUUGAUUACGGCUAAAAGGACUAAAGGCCGCAAAAUAUAUAGACACAACCAAGGUACAUCGAGGAAAACAAUCAAAGUGCAGCUUUCCGAAAGAAAAACACGACCAGAAAACGAGGGUUAAACAAACAGGACUCAGGACUCAGUGGGCAGGACUCAGUAGCCAGGACUCAGAACUCAGAGCUGAGGACACUGGGCAUGGAAAUGGACAACGCGAGGACUCGUCGCACAUCAUUGACGGUGUAACUGAUUUGGGCGGUCGAAGCUCGACUUUAUUUGCACUCGGGCCUCAUAAUUUUCGGCUUUAAUAAAUAUUGCAGGAUCUUACGGCACAUCGGCACAUGGAGGAAAGGCGCGUCCUUCCAGUUGCUUCACUUGUGUGCCUGUUGGCAAUUCUCAUUACUUGAGCACCAGAGAAGCCUUGAGGACACAUCCCACACAUACACACACACACAUACAGAAAAAAGCAACAACUGUGGCUGUAAUAGAGUUUUCGUUUUCGCGCUCGUU